UUGAACGCUGGCGGCAGGCCUAACACAUGCAAGUCGAAUGGUAACAGGAAACAGCUUGCUGUUUCGCUGACGAGUGGCGGACGGGUGAGUAAUGUCUGGGAAACUGCCUGAUGGAGGGGGAUAACUACUGGAAACGGUAGCUAAUACCGCAUAACGUCGCAAGACCAAAGAGGGGGACCUUCGGGCCUCUUGCCAUCAGAUGUGCCCGGAUGGGAUUAGCUAGUAGGUGGGGUAACGGCUCACCUAGGCGACGAUCCCUAGCUGGUCUGAGAGGAUGACCAGCCACACUGGAACUGAGACACGGUCCAGACUCCUACGGGAGGCAGCAGUGGGGAAUAUUGCACAAUGGGCGCAAGCCUGAUGCAGCCAUGCCGCGUGUAUGAAGAAGGCCUUCGGGUUGUAAAGUACUUUCAGCGGGGAGGAAGGGAGUAAAGUUAAUACCUUUGCUCAUUGACGUUACCCGCAGAAGAAGCACCGGCUAACUCCGUG
rnacentral:rRNA from 1 species